rnacentral:rRNA from 1 species
AUUGAACGCUGGCGGCGUGCCUAACACAUGCAAGUCGAUCGGUAACGCGGGGGCAACCCUGGCGACGAGAGGCGGACGGGUAAGGAACGCUUGGGAAUCUGCCUAUCAGCGGGGGACAACACGGGGAAACUCGUGCUAAUACCGCAUACGCUCUACGGAGGAAAGCCGGGGACCGCAAGGCCUGGCACUGAUAGAUGAGUCCAAGCCGGAUUAGCUAGUUGGCGGGGUAACGGCCCAACAAGGCGACGAUGCGUAGCUGGUCUGAGAGGACGAUCAGCCACACUGGGACUGAGACACGGCCCAGAAUCCUACGGGAGGCAGCAGGGGGGAAUAUUGGACAAUGGGGGAAACCCUGAUCCAGCGACGCCGCGUGGGUGAAGAAGGCCUGCGGGUUGUAAAGCCCUUUCGGUAGGGACGAAAGCUCUCGACCUAACACGUCGGGAGGUUGACUUAACCUACAAAAGAAGCACCGGCUAACUCUGUGCCAGCCGCCGCCGUAAAAC